rnacentral:rRNA from 1 species
CAGUCGCCGCGGUAAUACGGAGGGUGCAAGCGUUAUCCGGAUUCAUUGGGUUUAAAGGGUGCGUAGGCGGAUCUGUAAGUCAGUGGUGAAAUCUCCAGGCUUAACCUGGAAACUGCCGUUGAUACUAUAGGUCUUGAAUUCUGUGGAGGUUAGCGGAAUAUGUCAUGUAGCGGUGGAAUGCAUAGAUAUGACAUAGAACACCUAUGGCGAAGGCAGCUCGCUGGAACGUUACUGACGCUGAGACGCGAAAGCGUGGGGAGCAAACAGGAUUAGAUACCCGCGUAGUCCCUGUCUCUUAUAU